rnacentral:rRNA from 1 species
CCUACGGGUGGCAGCAGUCGAGAAUCAUUCACAAUGGGGGAAACCCUGAUGGUGCGACGCCGCGUGGGGGAAUGAAGGUCUUCGGAUUGUAAACGCCUGUCAUGUGGGAGCAAAUUAAAAAGAUAGUACCACAAGAGGAAGAGACGGCUCACUCUGUCCCAGCAGCCGCGGUAAUACAGAGGUCUCAAGCGUUGUUCGGAAUCACUGGGCGUAAAGCGUGCGAGGGCUGUUUCGUAAGUCGUGUGUGAAAGGGGUGGGCCCAACCCGCGGACGGCACAUGAUACUGCGAGACUAGAGUAAUGGAGGGGGAACUGGAAUUCCUGGUGUAGGAGUGAAAUGCGUAGAUAUCGGGAGGAACACUCGUGGCGAAGGCGGGUUCCUGGACAUUAACUGACGCUGAGGCACGAAGGCCAGGGGAGCGAAAGGGAUUAGAUACCCGGGUAGUC